GUAGGUGGCAAGCGUUGUCCGGAAUUAUUGGGCGUAAAGCGCGCGCAGGUGGGUUCUUUAAGUCUGAUGUGAAAGCCCCCGGGCUCAACCGGGGAGGUCAUUGGAAACUGGGGAACUUGAGUGCAGGAGAGGAAAGUGGAAUUCCACGUGUAGCGGUGAAAUGCGUAGAUAUGUGGAGGAACACCAGUGGCGAAGGCGACUUUCUGGCCUGUAACUGACACUGAGGCGCGAAAGCGUGGGGAGCAAACAGGAUUAGAUACCCUGGUAGUCCACGCCGUAAACGAUGAGUGCUAAGUGUUGGGGGGUUUCCGCCCCUCAGUGCUGCAGCUAACGCAUUAAGCACUCCGCCUGGGGAGUACGGUCGCAAAGACUG
rnacentral:rRNA from 1 species